rnacentral:lncRNA from 1 species
AGCUGGCUCAAGAAACCACAUCCAACCCACGGCGCCCUGCAGCUGAGCAGGGUGGGCGUAUCGCUGGCGUGGGAGACGGAACACACACCGUGGAAGCUCCGGCGACCCGACUAGGUCUCAGUAGCUGCUUCUGACAUUCAUGUACGUAAAACAGGAAGCAGAAGAAAACAAACAAAAUUGAAUGUUGAUGAGCGCAACUUUAACUUUCAAAGCAAAUUCAAGAAAAGAGUCUAGUCACUAAGAUGAAAUACUUCCUGGAAAACCCAGCCCUCGGGGCCACCAUCAGAGACCUGUCCACUGACAAGGGCGGUGGGUGAACCACUCCCACCAGAAAAGGAGGAGGACCUGAAGCUCACUGGGAAGUCAGAGGACACACGGACGGAGGUGACAAGGAAGCUCCAGGAUGACUGUGACGGCUCCAGAGGACUGGUCCUGUCUCCUCAUUCUUGCCUUUACACCAUUUUAAAGUAACAGAUAUCUAUGUGCUGGCAGUUUGUUUAUUCUCUAAAUCCACAAACAUAUUAACAUUUGGGAGGAGGAGGGGGUAACCGAGCGUGUGCUGCCUGUGACCGGCGUUAUAGGUCAUCAAUAAGCUGGACAAACGACCUCUGGUCUACCAGCUGGGCGUGCCAGGGACGGUGAGCACCAAGUCUCAGCCGUGUCCAGUUCGGGGGGCAGUGGGACAGAGCCUCUCCCGCCACAGGGCUGCCUGGCCCCCAGCGUGUCGGUGGAGCUAUGGGGGCUGAGGACACCACACCGCACGAGGCGAGUCAGGGGAGCUCUUGGCCUCGUUAUGUUUUGAACUGUGGAAAAGUAAAUACCAUGGUUGACUCAUAAUAUUAAUGGAAACCUCUUUUGGUAUGCUUUUAAAUUAAAUUUUUAUAUAUCUUCGCAGUCUUCAGGAAGCUAAAGGCAACAUAAAUAUCAUUCACCAUGAAAAGAUAUUUUUUCAAUAACUUAGGAAGUAUUCAAUAAACAUACAAGUAUUUUUGAGGCUUAUCGUGAAACUUAAUUUAUAAACUAAACUGAAAUGACCAAGAUUUUCAAGACCUGGGAAGCGAGCAAAGGUCCUGCGUGUCAGGACAGAAUGUGCCGUACUGCACCGCCCUCCAGCCGCGAGCCGAAGCUACAGCAGCGCGGCCGAGCUGCGCGAGACGUUGGAGCGCUUCAUCACCUGCGACGUGGUGCUGGUAGUGUCUGGCUGAGUGGGAAUUCUCUCAUACAAAAGUUAUAAAUAUUCUCUAUUCAGAAGUCUGGUCCACACGACACCCGGAGGCAACAUUCCACAGCGCGGUCGUGGUCCUGCCCCCGCGCUCACUGGCCCCGGUUGUGAGGCUGCCUCCUGCCGUGCUGCCGGCGCUCACAGCAAGUCCAUCUUGGGUCUGUAGUGCAGCAGG